rnacentral:sRNA from 1 species
GCUGGGCAUGGUGGCUCAUGCCUGUAAUCCCAGCAGCUCAGGAGGCUGAGGCAGGAAGAUCAUGAAUUCGAAGCCAGCCUCUG